rnacentral:lncRNA from 1 species
CAUAAACUCUAAAACAAAAUAUGUUUGACUUCAAAAUAACAUGAAACAUUAUACAAUCAUGAUAAAAUUAUGAAAAUCUUAGUUUGAAAUAUAAUUAAAUUAUCUUUUUAACGCAAUUGACGAUAUCCUAAAAGGACUUACAAAACUCAGUUAUGUCUGAAAUAAGACGAUCAAUACUCUUCAGUUUUUUUCUACGAUUCCCUUAUGAAAAUUUCACUCUUAAAUCUAAUUUCUUCGACCUAAAACUUUAUCCACUCCAUUCUAAAUAUGUAUUAUCAUAAAAUCAUAUUAUUCUAAAAACCUUCAAAACAUCAAUAAUGACAUAAUCAAGAAAACAAUUCAUAAUAGAAUAUUUGACACAUAUUAGUAUAUGAAUUGAAUCAUCAAAUUCAUCACAUAAUAACACAUCAUCACCAAUUUCAGAAUUCAAAUCAAUCAAACAACAUCCUAUUGGAAGCUAAUGACUCCUCAAUUCUACCUCUUAUGCAUAUAUCAGUUAUUGGAUCAAUUCUUCCCCUUACCUGAUUAUCCCAACAACGAUUGAAAACUUCUUUCUUGAUGUCCUUUUCUCCUAAUCUUUUUUCCUUCUUUUUCUCAAUUACUUGUUCUAAUAUUUAUCUAUGUUUUCUAUGUUUUCAUG